rnacentral:snoRNA from 1 species
GCUGUUGGGUGAUGAGGCUCUGGAAUGAGCCCUGGGCACAGUGCCCGAGUUGGGCUGCAGAAACAUCCCGUGCUGCCUUCCUUCUGAAAGCAUC